ACUAUCUCUUCACGCCAUGACACCAAAUGGAGCGAUCCGUUUCGUUGCUCUCCUGCUCGCGACGAAGGCAAGAAGCUAUUGCUCUUCCUCUACGAUUCUUCACCGGUCACUUCAACGGAGACUUUCCCACUUCUCCGUGGCCCCGGUAGCCACUUCGCCUUCUUUCUCCGCGCCGUAGAAGCUCCUCGUCCGUUGCUUACACAAACCGCCGCCCCCUCUUCUCUGGUGGACUUUCUCUUCCGAGGCUCGGAUCGACGCCGCUGUGUCUCUUCCCCCAGCUCUGUCCAGGUUUGGGUGGCGAACUCCUCGGCCGAACUGUCCAUGGAGAGAUUCUGGCUGAAUCUAAACCCUUUUCGGUUCAGGCUGCUGCGUCGGGAUCGAUUCCCCUGAUAAAGGGGAUUUGCCCGGUUUGUAAAUGUUGGGGAUGAAAGGGGAGAGACGCCUCUAAAUCUUGCAGCACGGCGAAGAUGGACUGAGUGUGUCCGUGUACUCUUAGACCAUGGGGCUCUUGUUUCUUCUUCCACUAGGGAAUAUGGUCAUUCUGGGAGCACUCCUCUACAUUUGGCAGCUCGUGGAGGAAGUUUGGAUUGUGUUCGCACAUUGCUUGCAUGGGGAGCCGAUCAGCUCCAGAGGGAUUCAUCUGGGCGAAUACCUUAUUCUGUAGCUAUAAAGCACAAUCAUGGAGCUUGUGCAGCUUUGCUAAACCCAUCAGCAGCAGAACCUCUUGUUUGGCCUUCUCCAUUAAAGUUCAUCAGUGAACUUGAUCCAGAUGCAAGAGCUCUUCUAGAAGUAGCUCUGAUGGACGCUAACAAGGAAAGCGAGAAAAUAAUAUUGAAUUAAAGAAAAAAAUUGUUGUCUCCUGCAAAUGUGGAUGAAGCAUUUCAUGAUGAUGCUUCUGAGGGACUUGUCAAGCAAUUUGCGCAGGGGCACAAUUCCUCCAUCUAUUGGCUCUCUGAACCCAUUAUGAUUUCUGAAUUUAUCAACAAAUUUCUUGUCUGGUGAAGUUCCAAUCGUUGGAAUCCUUGUAACUUUCCAAAGCACUUCAUGACUCCUACAGCUUAAUUCUGCAUAUUUGAUUGCCAAGGGAAAUUUGUAUACUCGGUCACGUGAAGAUGCAGCCAGUAAGUUGCUGGAAAAGGCUUUAAAGAUUCAGUUGGGAAGAGGAUUUUAGCUGGCAUAUUAUGGAUUUCGAUUACACAACUAUUAUUUUCUCAUUUUGAUGUGUGUAGUUAAUUUUUGAAAUUUGAAGAUAACAUUUUCAUGGAUUGAAUGUAGUAAAUAUUUAGUUUUGUAUUGGUGGUUUGUUUAUAUUA